CUGCGUACUGAAUGCCGCUCUGAAUGCGACAGCAUCCUGAAACCUGAUCAAUCUGCUCAACAUUGCGCCGUGAUUACUGAGCAUCAACCAACUUAUGUCCAAUAUUACUCUAGCUUCUCGUAUGUCUGCCGUGUGGGAUAUUGCGUGAAAGGGCACUGUAUGUAUCUUUCUACGUAUUUCGAAAGAUGCCGGGUUGUAUGACCUAACUUUUCGGGAUGUCGGGAAAGUACCAUCGCGGUAAUUUAGCUGGUUAAUAUUGAAGGCUUAGCAUGAACCUUCUUGCCAAAACUGAGCACUACAAAAAUGAAUAAAGUUGUAUGAAACUGGC